rnacentral:rRNA from 1 species
UGGGGAAUUUUGGACAAUGGGCGAAAGCCUGAUCCAGCAAUGCCGCGUGUGUGAAGAAGGCCUUCGGGUUGUAAAGCACUUUUGUCCGGAAAGAAAUGGCUCUGGUUAAUACCUGGGGUCGAUGACGGUACCGGAAGAAUAAGGACCGGCUAACUACGUGCCAGCAGCCGCGGUAAUACGUAGGGUCCAAGCGUUAAUCGGAAUUACUGGGCGUAAAGCGUGCGCAGGCGGUUGUGCAAGACCGAUGUGAAAUCCCCGAGCUUAACUUGGGAAUUGCAUUGGUGACUGCACGGCUAGAGUGUGUCAGAGGGGGGUAGAAUUCCACGUGUAGCAGUGAAAUGCGUAGAGAUGUGGAGGAAUACCGAUGGCGAAGGCAGCCCCCUGGGAUAACACUGACGCUCAUGCACGAAAGCGUGGGGAGCAAACAGGAUUAGAUACCCUGGUAGUCCACGCCCUAAACGAUGUCAACUAGUUGUUGGGGGAUUCAUUUCCUUAGUAACGUAGCUAACGCGUGAAGUUGACCGCCUGGGGAGUACGGUCGCAAGAUUAAAAGC